GACGAACGCUGGCGGCGUGCCUAAUACAUGCAAGUCGAGCGAGUCUGCCUUGAAGAUCGGAGUGCUUGCACUCUGUGAAACAAGAUACAGGCUAGCGGCGGACGGGUGAGUAACACGUGGGUAACCUGCCCAAGAGAUCGGGAUAACACCUGGAAACAGAUGCUAAUACCGGAUAACAACAGAUGAUGCCUAUCAACUGUUUAAAAGAUGGUUCUGCUAUCACUCUUGGAUGGACCUGCGGUGCAUUAGCUAGUUGGUAGGGUAACGGCCUACCAAGGCGAGGAUGCAUAGCCGAGUUGAGAGACUGAUCGGCCACAUUGGGACGGAGACACGGCCCAAACUCCUACGGGAGGCAGCAGUAGGGAAUCUUCCACAAUGGACGCAAGUCUGAUGGAGCAACGCCGCGUGAGUGGAGAAGGGUUUCGGCUCGUAAAGCUCUGUUGUUGGUGAAGAAGGACAGGGGUAGUAACUGACCUUUGUUUGACGGUAAUCAAUGAGAAAGUCACGGCUAACUACGUG
rnacentral:rRNA from 1 species